rnacentral:rRNA from 1 species
CCUACGGGUGGCAGCAGUGAGGAAUAUUGGUCAAUGGUCGGGAGACUGAACCAGCCAAGCCGCGUGAGGGAUGAAGGUACAGAGUAUCGUAAACCUCUUUUGUCAGGGAACAAAGGCGGGGACGUGUCCCCGGAUGAGUGUACCUGAAGAAAAAGCAUCGGCUAACUCCGUGCCAGCAGCCGCGGUAAUACGGAGGGUGCGAGCGUUAUCCGGUUUUAUUGGGUUUAAAGGGUGCGCAGGCGGUCUGUUAAGUCAGGGGUAAAAGCCCGGGGCUCAACCCCGGCCCGCCGUUGAAACUGGCAGUCUCGAGUUGGAGAGAAGUAUGCGGAAUGCGCGGUGUAGCGGUGAAAUGCAUAGAUAUCGCGCAGAACUCCGAUUGCGAAGGCAGCAUGCCGGCUCCACACUGACGCUGAGGCACGAAAGCGUGGGUAUCGAACAGGAUUAGAUACCCUAGUAGUC